AUAUCGCACGGCGUGCGUGACGGCAGCACUGGCAGAAGGACGGCUCUUUUCUGUUUUAUCGCUGACAAACCCUUUUUCACCCCCUCACCCGUGCUUUGUUUCCCUGGAGCCUGUGGCAGCCGCGUGUGCCGUGACGGCGUGAGCGCCUGUGCGCUCGGCACCGCAAGCGGCUUACUUUUUUCUUGAAAGCGGCAAAGUUUUUUUUUUUGCUAGAUCGUCGAAACACUCGCUCUGCAGUGGGCUUUCAUUGACUUUUCUUCUAUCGUACCUGCACCACUACGGGAAUGGGCCUAUUCAUUUGAGCCCUCGUAUCUCACCAAAACCCUUCCUCCUUUUUCUCUGUGUUAGUCUGUGUAGCGCUCGCCGCAAUGCUGUACAUCAGUAGCGGCCUUGUGGGUCGCAAGGCGAUGAGCGGUGAGCUGUCCCCUGAGGAGGACACGUCGGGUGCCAAGGUACUCCUCAUCAACAUGCGCAGCCAUCAGUCUGAUCUGCUCGACCAAGCGCAGCGGAGCAACGUCAACCGUCGCAGAUUUUUUCUCGACAUUCUCCACUGCAACGAAGACUUGCACAGGCCGGGUGUGCCCAGCUUCGACGUGAUGCAGCUGGAAAAACUGAAACUCUCGGCAGACCACACGCACGAGGACUGGAUAGAGCUGGCGCAGCUCAUAAAGAAGGAGUACCACCACUACCGCGGUUUUGUGGUGGAGAGCGGGUCAGACAACAUGGUCACUACCUCCACGGCGGUCAGCUUCUUACUCGAGAACCUCGGCAAGCCGGUCAUUUUCACAGGCUCACUCAUCCCCGGUCAUCGCAUCUACACCGACAUGACGCGGAACAUUAUCCUCGCCUUGGCGUUCGCCAGCUGUAGCCAGAUCUGUGAUGUGUGCAUUCUCUUUGACGAGAUGCUCUACCGCGCAAAUCGCACCAUCAAAAUGAGUCGUUGCAGCUUGCGCCCCUUCGACUCGCCGCACUUCCCUCCUAUCGCAUCCAUGCGCGGCGGUGUCCUGAUAAUUCGCAAGGUACUGCUCCGUCCGCACCCCACCGGCCGACUGCGCAUCGAAGCAGAGUUGUCCACGAAGGUGCUGACGCUCGAGCUGGGCCCGGGAGCGCCGUUUGAGUUUUUCCGAGCUGCCAUUGAGUACACAAGCGCUCCGGCCCUCAUCCUGCGCUGCUACGGCAGCGGUAACGGGCCGACCCGGCGUGACUUUAUGAAGCGCCUCCUCGCCAUAGCGAAGACUCGCGACUUGGUGGUGGUGAUUUGCACGCACAACCGCUACGGGGUGGUGGCGCUGUCCGAAUACGAAGCGGGGCGUCAGCUUAUGGGGGCUGGGGCCAUCAGCGCCGGUGACAUGACUCACGAGGCGGCCAUGGUGAAGCUCAAGUACCUGUUCGGUCUUGGCAUGUCUCCGGAGCAGGUGCGCAAGUACUUUGCUGUGGACAUGCGCGGCGAAGUAUCGUCGCCGUCCGCGAAGCUGUGAAGCGCCCUGGAGAGCGCUAGCUCCAUGUAGGGCGUAAGAAGACACCGGAUUCACUGUUCCUAUACGCCAGCGUCUCCGCGGGUGCUUGUUGAAGCACGAUGACGCCUUCUCUUCCCUGCCGUAACACUAUCUCCAUCCUCAGGCUUGCGCGCAUGUUUUCCGCUAUGUUUUUUUUUUGUUCUUGCGGUGCGGGCGGGAGGGGCGAGGGGCGUUGUUUGGUUUCACCGACUCCUUACCGACGGAUAUGUCAGCACUAUAGUUGGACGUGCUCGUUGUACUUGUGCACAAGCGCACAGGAGCGCGAAGAGGAAAAACAUGUUGCACCAACCAUGCAAUCCAAGCCAACGGGGGGACACUCCCCUUCUUCUUGG
rnacentral:misc_RNA from 1 species